rnacentral:tRNA from 1 species
AGGGGUUUAGCUCAGUUGGUAGAGCAGCGGGCUUCAACCCCGCGUGUCACGGGUUCGAGCCCUGUAACCCCUGCCA